UGAAUACGAAACGCUAAGGCGUCGAAGUAGUGUAUGUCAUACUUCCAAGAAAAGCUUGCACUGUCAUAGAUAAAAAACGCCUGUACCAUAACCGACACAGGUGGGUAGGUAGAGUAUACUAAGGGGCGCGAGAUAACUCUCUCUAAGGAACUCGGCAAAAUAACUCCGUAACUUCGGGAGAAGGAGUGCCUUAUUCGUAAGGUUGCAAUAACAAGAUCCAAGCAACUGUCUAUCAAAAACACAGGUCUCCGCUAAGUCGUAAGACGAUGUAUGGGGGCUGACGCCUGCCCAGUGCCAGAAGGUUAAAGAAGUUGGUUAGCAAUUGCGAAGCUGAUAACUGAAGCCCUGGUGAACGGCGGCCGUAACGAUAACGGUCCUAAGGUAGCGAAAUUCCUUGUCGGGUAAGUUCCGACCCGCACGAAAGGCGUAAUGAUUUGGAUACUGUCUCGGAGAGGGGCUCGGUGAAAUAGACUUGUCUGUGAAGAUGCGGACUACCUGCACCAGGACAGAAAGACCCUAUGAAGCUUUACUGUAACUUGAAAUUGAAAUUGGACUUUAUUCGCGCAGUAUAGGUGGGAGGCGUUGAUUAUAAUCUUGUGGGAUUAUUGGAGCCAUCAGUGAGAUACCACUCUUGUAAUGUUAGAUUUCUAACUUUGAAUCAUUAUCUGGUCAAAGAACAGUUUCAGGCGGGCAGUUUGACUGGGGCGGUCGCCUCCUAAACGGUAACGGAGGCGUACAAAGGUUUCCUCUGAACGGUUAGAAAUCGUAUCUAGAGUGUAAAGGCAUAAGGAAGCUUGACUGUGAGACCUACAAGUCGAGCAGGGACGAAAGUCGGUCUUAGUGAUCUGACGGUACUGAGUGGAAAGGCCGUCACUCAACGGAUAAAAGUUACUCUAGGAUAACAGGCUGAUCUCCCCCAAGAGUUCACAUCGACGGGGAGGUUUGGCACCUCGAUGUCGGCUCAUCGCAUCCUGGGGCGGUAGUACGUCCCAAGGGUUGGGCUGUUCGCCCAUGAAAGCGGUACGCGAGCUGGGUUCAGAACGUCGUGAGACAGUUCGGUCCAUAUCCGGUGUAGGCGUUAGAAUAUUGAGAGGAGCCUUCUUUAGUACGAGAGGACCGAGAAGGACAUACCUCUGGUGUACCAGUUAUCGUGCCUACGGUAAACGCUGGGUAGCUAUGUAUGGAGUGGAUAACCGCUGAAAGCAUCUAAGUGGGAAGCCCACCUCAAGAUAAGUAUUCUCA
rnacentral:rRNA from 1 species